rnacentral:rRNA from 1 species
AUGCAGUCGAGCGAACAGAUAAGGAGCUUGCUCCUUUGACGUUAGCGGCGGACGGGUGAGUAACACGUGGGUAACCUACCUAUAAGACUGGGAUAACUUCGGGAAACCGGAGCUAAUACCGGAUAAUAUUUCGAACCGCAUGGUUCGAUAGUGAAAGAUGGUUUUGCUAUCACUUAUAGAUGGACCCGCGCCGUAUUAGCUAGUUGGUAAGGUAACGGCUUACCAAGGCGACGAUACGUAGCCGACCUGAGAGGGUGAUCGGCCACACUGGAACUGAGACACGGUCCAGACUCCUACGGGAGGCAGCAGUAGGGAAUCUUCCGCAAUGGGCGAAAGCCUGACGGAGCAACGCCGCGUGAGUGAUGAAGGUCUUCGGAUCGUAAAACUCUGUUAUUAGGGAAGAACAUACGUGUAAGUAACUGUGCACGUCUUGACGGUACCUAAUCAGAAAGCCACGGCUAACUACGUGCCAGCAGCCGCGGUAAUACGUAGGUGGCAAGCGUUAUCCGGAAUUAUUGGGCGUAAAGCGCGCGUAGGCGGUUUUUUAAGUCUGAUGUGAAAGCCCACGGCUCAACCGUGGAGGGUCAUUGGAAACUGGAAAACUUGAGUGCAGAAGAGGAAAGUGGAAUUCCAUGUGUAGCGGUGAAAUGCGCAGAGAUAUGGAGGAACACCAGUGGCGAAGGCGACUUUCUGGUCUGCAACUGACGCUGAUGUGCGAAAGCGUGGGGAUCAAACAGGAUUAGAUACCCUGGUAGUCCACGCCGUAACGAUGAGUGCUAAGUGUUAGGGGGGUUUCCGCCCCUUAGUGCUGCAGCUAACGCAUUAAGCACUCCGCCUGGGGAGUACGACCGCAGGUUGAAACUCAAGGAAUUGACGGGACCCGCACAAGCGGUGGAGCAUGUGGUUUAAUUCGAAGCACGCGAGAACCUUACCAAAUCUGACAUCCUUUGACACUCUAGAGAUAGAGCUUCCCUUCGG